UGGGGAAUUUUGCACAAUGGAGGAAACUCUGAUGCAGCGACGCCGCGUGAGUGAUGAAGAUCUUCGGAUUGUAAAACUCUGUCCUUAGUGAAGAUAAUGACAGUAACUAAGAAGCAAGCCCUGGCUAAAUACGUGCCAGCAGCCGCGGUAAUACGUAUGGGGCAAGCGUUGUCCGGAAUUAUUGGGCGUAAAGGGUACGUAGGCGGUUUAAUAAGUCCUAAUUAAAAGGCUAUGGCUCAACCAUAGUAUGGUUAGGAAACUGUUGAACUUGAGUAGAUGAGGGGAAAGUGGAAUUCCAUGUGUAGCGGUGAAAUGCGUAGAUAUAUGGAGGGACACCAAUGGCGAAGGCAACUUUCUGGAAUCAAACUGACGCUGAGGUACGAAGGCGUGGGGAGCAAACAGG
rnacentral:rRNA from 1 species